rnacentral:tRNA from 1 species
CCCUGGGUGGCAUAAAUGGUUAUGCAUUUGACUACUAGCCAGAAGUUGGUGGUUCGAACCCACCCAGAGGCG